UACGUAGGGUGCGAGCGUUGUCCGGAAUUAUUGGGCGUAAAGGGCUCGUAGGCGGUUUGUCGCGUCGGGAGUGAAAACCUCGGGCUUAACUCGGGGCUUGCUUUCGAUACGGGCAGACUGGAGGUAUGCAGGGGAGAACGGAAUUCCUGGUGUAGCGGUGGAAUGCGCAGAUAUCAGGAGGAACACCGGUGGCGAAGGCGGUUCUCUGGGCAUUACCUGACGCUGAGGAGCGAAAGUGUGGGGAGCGAACAGG
rnacentral:rRNA from 1 species